rnacentral:rRNA from 1 species
AGAGUUUGAUCCUGGCUCAGGAUGAACGCUAGCGGCAGGCCUAACACAUGCAAGCCGAGGGGUAAGGCCUACUUCGGUGGGUACACGACCGGCGCACGGGUGAGUAACGCGUAUGCAACCUGCCUCUGACAGGGGGAUAGCUUUCGGAAACGAAAAUUAAUACCCCAUAAUAUUGUUUUGUCACCUGUCAAGACAAUUAAAGCCCCGGCGGUCAGAGAUGGGCAUGCGUGCCAUUAGCUAGUUGGUAGGGUAACGGCCUACCAAGGCAACGAUGGCUACGGGGUCUUAAAGGAUGAUCCCGCGCACUGGUACUGAGACACGGACCAGACUCCUACGGGAGGCAGCAGUGAGGAAUAUUGGUCAAUGGGUGCAAGCCUGAACCAGCCAUGCCGCGUGCAGGAUGACUGCCCUAUGGGCUGUAAACUGCUUUUAUACCGGGAGAACACCCCCUACGUGUAGGGGAUUGACUGUACGGUAAGAAUAAGCAUCGGCUAACUCCGUGCCAGCAGCCGCGGUAAUACGGAGGAUGCAAGCGUUAUCCGGAUUUAUUAGGUUUAAAGGGUGCGUAGGCUGACUGAUAAGUCAGUGGUGAAAGCCUUCGGCUCAACCGGAGAAUUGCCAUUGAUACUGUGAGUCUUGAGUGUAGUGGAGGUAGGCGGAAUGUGUAAUGUAGCGGUGAAAUGCUUAGAUAUUACACAGAACACCAAUUGCGGAGGCAGCUUACUAUAUUACAACUGACGCUGAUGCACGAAAGCGUGGGUAGCGAACAGGAUUAGAUACCCUGGUAGUCCACGCUGUAAACGAUGAGCACUCGCUGUUGGCGAUACAUUGUCAGCGGCCGAGCGAAAGCAUUAAGUGCUCCACCUGGGGAGUACGUCGGCAACGAUGAAACUCAAAGGAAUUGACGGGGGCCCGCACAAGCGGUGGAACAUGUGGUUUAAUUCGAUGAUACGCGAGGAACCUUACCUGGACUUAAAUGGAAGUUGACCGCUGCCGAAAGGUGGCUUCCCUUCGGGGCAACCUUCAAGGUGCUGCAUGGCUGUCGUCAGCUCGUGCCGUGAGGUGUCGGGUUAAGUCCCAUAACGAGCGCAACCCUUAUUCUUAGUUGCCAGCGGGUAAUGCCGGGGACUCUAAGGAGACUGCCACCGUAAGGUGAGAGGAAGGUGGGGAUGACGUCAAGUCAGCACGGCCCUUACGUCCAGGGCUACACACGUGUUACAAUGGCCGGAACAGAGGGUAGCUACAUGGCAACAUGAUGCCAAUCUCGAAACCCGGUCUAAGUUCGGAUCGAAGUCUGCAACUCGACUUCGUGAAGUUGGAAUCGCUAGUAAUCGCGCAUCAGCAAUGGCGCGGUGAAUACGUUCCCGGGCCUUGUACACACCGCCCGUCAAGCCAUGGAAGCCGGGGGUACCUGAAGUCCGUGACCGCAAGGAGCGGCCUAGGGUAAAACUGGUGACUGGGGCUAAGUCGUAACAAGGUA